CUUUAUGUAAUAUAUAGGCACCCACACUCUGUAUAUAGAAGGAUUCACUGUGCAGAGCAAUGAGUCUUUCAGUAUGCAAUUUAAAUCAAAAUUAUUCAACCCCCAUUGAAAGUCAUGUUUAUUGUCAAAAUGUACUGACAUUCAGCUGUUUUCUAAGAACAGAUCAAACAAGAGCAAUGGAAAUAGCUCAACACAAUGAAUGCUUCAAGUGGUUUCCCCAAAUUCAACUGAAACAUAAAAUAACUGCUCCAGUCUCAAAAUUUUUCAACCCCUACAUGACAAGCAUCUUUAGUUCCAAGUCGAACAUCCUUGUUGCUGUUAUGACCUGCUGCAAAUGAGAUGCAUAGCAAGACACCAAGUUCCUGAGGAAUUUU